UACGUAGGGUGCAAGCGUUGUCCGGAAUUAUUGGGCGUAAAGAGCUCGUAGGCGGUUUGUUGCGUCGGCUGUGAAAUCCCGAGGCUCAACCUUGGGUCUGCAGUCGAUACGAGCAAACUAGAGUGUUGCAGGGGAGACUGGAAUUCCUGGUGUAGCGGUGAAAUGCGCAGAUAUCAGGAGGAACACCGAUGGCGAAGGCGGGUCUCUGGGCAACAACUGACGCUGAGGAGCGAAAGCGUGGGGAGCGAACAGG
rnacentral:rRNA from 1 species